UACGUAGGCAGCAAGCGUUGUUCGGAAUUACUGGGCGUAAAGCGCGCGCAGGCGGCCCUUUAAGUCCAUCGGUCAAAUGCCGGAGCUCAACUCCGUGCGUGCCGAGGAUACUGGAGGGCUGGAGACACGUAGAGGCAAGCGGAAUUCCGGGUGUAGCGGUGGAAUGCGUAGAGAUCCGGAAGAACACCGGAGGCGAAGGCGGCUUGCUGGGCGUGAUCUGACGCUGAGGCGCGAAAGCGUGGGGAGCGAACAGG
rnacentral:rRNA from 1 species